rnacentral:tRNA from 1 species
CUUACCUUAGUUUAAUUUAGAAUGAGGAUUUUGGGAAUUCUUGGUCUUUAAUUAGAGGUUUGG